AUUGAACGCUGGCGGCAGGCCUAACACAUGCAAGUCGAGCGGAUGAAGGGAGCUUGCUCCUGGAUUCAGCGGCGGACGGGUGAGUAAUGCCUAGGAAUCUGACUGGUAGAGGGGGCUAACGUCCGGAAACGGGAGCUAAUACCGCAUACGUCCUGAGGGAGAAAGUGGGGGAUCUUCGGACCUCACGCUAUCAGAUGAGCCUAGGUCGGAUUAGCUAGUUGGUGGGGUAAAGGCCUACCAAGGCGACGAUCCGUAACUGGUCUGAGAGGAUGAUCAGACACACUGGAACUGAGACACGGUCCAGACUCCUACGGGGGGCAGCAGUGGGGAAUAUUGGACAAUGGGCGAAAGCCUGAUCCAGCCAUGCCGCGUGUGUGAAGAAGGUCUUCGGAUUGUAAAGCACUUUAAGUUGGGAGGAAGAGCAGUAAGUUAAUACCUUGCUGUUUUGACGUUACCAACAGAAUAAGCACCGGCUAACUUCGUG
rnacentral:rRNA from 1 species